UGCAGCCGGGCACCGGGCACCAGGCUGGCCUGCCACUCUGCAUCUCCAACCCCUUCCUACACCUAGUCGAGCAGAUGACUAAGCUCUUUCCAGUGUGAGAGGUUAACAUGUGCCAUUUCUAGCCUGGGGCCCGAAGAUCAGGCUGCUCCUCCUCCAUGCUUUCUCUUUCCGCCUCCCAAGAGGCUGAAAUCACAGGACCACCAUGACUCCAGAAGCUCCACGUGGAAAGUAGCAGAGCCACCAUUAGCCUAUGUCCCUGGAUGGCUGGGUGGAGCCAGGCUAUCCACAGACCUGGAACAUCCACCCUAGACUAUUAAGUAGGAGGAAUUUCUAACUAUGCAACUCAUUGCAAAUUUUAAGCUUUCUAUCCUCACCUACACAGUCUCAGAGAAUUGCUAAUAAAGAUGCAAGAGUAUCGGUAACAAUACUACACAUAAUGUUCUCAAUGGACCCAUCGUGGAGUGUCCAGUUCAUCUGGCCGGUCAACCAAGUGAGUCCACUGGACCCAGGAUACCCCUGUACAAAUACCACCACUACCUCAGUUGAUCUUGGACUUGUAAGCAUGGGGAAGGGCAGGAGUAGGCGCCAUUCUCCUCGGGAUUCCCUAAUCAAAACUCACUGGUAAAUACUGUGUAAAGGUCAUGUGCUAUAACUGGAAGUGUUGUGUGGGAUGGAAACAACAACAACAACAACAACAACCGGUUCUGCUGAGAGGAGCUCUUGUCUUUCCUGGUGUCCAAGAGGCAGCUGCACUAGCUAAACCUCCAGCAGUCAUCUUGCACUAUGACCUCCAGGGCAAAAGUCACCAACUGGAGACAGUGAAGCAGAAAUAAAGAUGCAGGCUAAGUUCCUGAAGAUUUGGAUGGAGGCUCUGAAUGGACUGCCUGUCUCUGGGACUUCUUGGAGGUAAAAAUAAGCUAGUGUUUAAACCACUAUUUUGAGGCAGGGGGGCUCUUUUAGAGUCAAAUGGAAUUCCUAAACGAUACAGUCACACAGGUAAUAAGGAGGAGUCAGGAUUUGAAAGCCUUCAUCCUGAUUCCAAUUUUUAUCCUCCUAACAAAAGGGCUAGAUGGAUCAGGAGAGGUUGAGGCUACAAGUGCAGACUGUCAAUUAUGGGUGCACGCACAUCUCGACAGUUCCGUUACUUCGGCUAAGACAAAAAAGGCAAAAUACUCAGCAUCAUUGUAAAAUGAAAGUUCUAUCAUUAGGUAAAUAAUCUGAUGAUAGGGAAUUAACACCUUACCAGUUUCAGAGAAUUAAAAUAAAUAAUUCUAACAUCCC